CUGUGUGGUUCCCGGGUGAAACGCCCGGUUACAUUCCGAACCCGGAAGCUAAGCCUUUCAGCGCCGAUGGUACUGCAGGGGGGACCCUGUGGGAGAGUAGGACGCCGCCGAAC
rnacentral:rRNA from 1 species